AUGGUAUGAAUUUUUAAUUAUGUAUUCUGAAUUAUUUCCAAUUAGGGCUAUAUUUCAGGGCAGAUGACCUUUCAGUAUUUCCUGUGUAUCUGGAAUACAAACUGCUCAGUCUGGAAGAUGUGGUACAUCUUUGAGGAACUCUUGUUAUGGAAAUGAUGAGACAGACGGAUGUGUAUUUGGAUCUUUUCCAGCUCUAAAGGGCAUUUAUCCAGGUUCCAACAGACAGACCAGCUAGAGGCCAUUGUGCCACAGUUAAUGGAUGACCCCGUUUUGCUUGUGUGAUACUAGCAGAAGUAGGAGGUGCAGACCUUGUUUCAGCAUUUUGCUCUCCAGCACCCAGAAAAAAGUAGGUAAGCUGAAUCCUGGCAGGUAAAUUAUUUUUUUGGAAGCAGACAGGCUUUUUGAAGCAAGAAGGUCAGCUCCUCUCUGAUGUUCUUUUCUUUCUAAUAGGCACUUUUACUUGAACACAAUCAAAUCUUUUCCACUUCAUACGUGCACUCCUUCCUUUCAGGCAAGUACACUUCUUUCUCCCUCUUUAUUUCCCCCUUGUAAGCAAACAUAACCUAAAAGAAAAGGACAGAUUAAAGCUGCUUGCUCAUAAAACUUGCCUUCUUCCUAUACUAGGAAUUUGUUUUGUGACCUACUUCCUUAACACUGUUUGCUAUUGAGCAAG
rnacentral:lncRNA from 1 species